CCCUUAGAUGUUCUGGGCCGCACGCGCGCUACACUGACGGAGUCAACGAGUUGUCCUGCAUCGGAAGGUGUGGGUAAUCUUUUGAAACUUCGUCGUGCUGGGGAUAGAUCUUUGCAAUUUUCGAUCUUGAACGAGGAAUUCCUAGUAAGCGUGAUUCAUCAGAUCGCGUUGAUUACGUCCCUGCCCUUUGUACACACCGCCCGUCGCUACUACCGAUUGAAUGGUUUAGUGAGGCCUCGGGACUGGCGCGCUCGAGUAGCAAUACACCUGCGCGCCGGGAACUUGGUCAAACUUGACCAUUUAGAGGAAGUAAAAGUCGUAACA
rnacentral:rRNA from 1 species